AGAUAUCAGGUUACCCUGACACAAGUUCACCUGUCGUUUUGGAGGAUAGUGUUGAUUAUAAGGUUCUUUAUAGAGAAAGUCAGGCUCGAGUUCACCCUCAGCCAUCUUAUGAUUGUAUCAGCCCUUGUAUUACCGAGGCCUGAUUACUUUAAGACGUCAAUCCACCUUGCUUUUCCUUGGUUUCAUAUUACUUGUUCUUAUCUGCCACAUCAUAUAUUACUAUGUGUUUUCCACGAUUUCUUAUUCCUUGUCACUAUUUAUGCUUAUUACUCAUUGGGUCAGAGUACUCACAUUACUCUCUGCACCUUGCGUGCAGAUCCAGGUGUUCCAGAGGCCGAGUGAGAGUUUUUUCCCGUUGAUCAGCAUUUACCGGAGUUGUCGAGGUUGCUGCAUGGCGUCUGCAGGCCCUAUUUCUCCUUCUAUCUUAUUAUUUUUUUUGCAUUCCUAUACUAUAUAUGUAUUAGGUUGUUAGACCUAUAUUAGAGGCUCUUGACUUGUGAUACUUGAUCGGUGGGCUAUGUAGUAUUAUUAUCUUUUGACUUUCGCAUAUUUAACUUAUUGUUGCAGAUUUUAUUAUGCUAAAUUGGUAUUUAAAUUGCAUUAUCUUAUAAUGAAUAUUUUUUUAAAAGAAGAUGGGUUGUGGUCGAUUGUCAGUCAGCUUGCCUAGAAAUGUGUUAGGCGCCAUCAUGACCAGGGUUGGGGUCGUGACAAAUGUGUAUUACAGCCUAGAUUACAUGGGUCUCGCAAGUCAUAAGCCGGUUUAGUAGUCUUG
rnacentral:lncRNA from 1 species